rnacentral:rRNA from 1 species
GAUGAACGCUGGCGGCGUGCCUAAUACAUGCAAGUCGAGCGAACAGACGAGGAGCUUGCUCCUCUGACGUUAGCGGCGGACGGGUGAGUAACACGUGGAUAACCUACCUAUAAGACUGGGAUAACUUCGGGAAACCGGAGCUAAUACCGGAUAAUAUAUUGAACCGCAUGGUUCAAUAGUGAAAGCCGGUUUUGAUGUCACUAAUAGAUGGAUCCGCGCCGCAUUAGCUAGUUGGUAAGGUAACGGCUUACCAAGGCAACGAUGCGUAGCCGACCUGAGAGGGUGAUCGGCCACACUGGAACUGAGACACGUUCCAGACUCCUACGGGAGGCAGCAGUAGGGAAUCUUCCGCAAUGGGCGAAAGCCUGACGGAGCAACGCCGCGUGAGUGAUGAAGGUCUUCGGAUCGUAGAGCUCUGUAAGUAGGGAGGAACAAAUGUGUAAGUAACUAUGCACGUCUUGACGGUACCUAAUCAGAAAGCCACGGCUAACUACGUG